rnacentral:rRNA from 1 species
GAUGAACGCUAGCUACAGGCUUAACACAUGCAAGUCGAGGGGCAGCGGUAUCGAAAGCUUGCUUUCGGUAGCCGGCGACCGGCGCACGGGUGAGUAACGCGUAUCGAACCUGCCUCAUACUCGGGAAUAGCCUUGCGAUAGUAAGAUUAAUGCCCGGUGUUUUCAGAGUCCCGCAUGAGGCUUUGAACAAAGAUUUAUCGGUAUGAGAUGGCGAUGCGUCCCAUUAGCUUGUUGGCGGGGUAACGGCCCACCAAGGCAUCGAUGGGUAGGGGUUCUGAGAGGAAGGUCCCCCACAGUGGAACUGAGACACGGUCCAAACUCCUACGGGAGGCAGCAGUGAGGAAGAUUGGGCGAUGGGCGGAAGCCUGAACCAGCCAAGUAGCGUGCAGGAAGACGGCCCUCCGGGUUGUAAACUGCUUUUAGUUGAGAAUAAAACGGUGCUCGUGAGCCCCCUUGCAUGUACCAUCAGAAAAAGGACCGGCUAAUUCCGUG